rnacentral:ncRNA from 1 species
UUUUACCGCACUGGUUUCGGUUAAUGGCAGCACGCUUUGUACCGAGCCUUUACCGAAUGAUUGAGUACCAACAAUGACUGCGCGUUUAUGAUCUUGCAAUGCGCCCGCAACAAUUUCUGAAGCCGAAGCGGAACCACCGUUAAUUAAAACGACCACGGGUAUAUCACCGGCAACGGUAUCGGCGGUUGCUUCAAAACGUAAUUCAGAUUGAGGGUUACGCCCUUUGGUAUAAACAAUAACCCCAGAGCUAAUAAAGGCAUCAACGACAUCGACCGCGGCAUCUAAUACGCCGCCAGGGUUGUUGCGUAA